rnacentral:tRNA from 1 species
CGAUUAGCUCAGCGGGAGAGCGCUUCCCUGACACGGAAGAGGUCACUGGUUCACUCCCAGUAUCGUCCA